GUCGUGAAGACCGUUACAAACAAGAACGAGUUACAAGCAGAAGACCGCGGCGCACGCAAUCAAAUAUCCAUCCAUGUCUCCCUCCCUGACCUGCCUUAACCGAUGGUGACAGCCAGGUUGAACUCAUCCAAGACUCUUUAGGACAUCAGCUAGAUCAGCAUCAGAGUAAACAACAUUGAUGAGACUUUCUGUCCUGUACAUGCAUCUGAAUUGACAUAUCUCUGGAUUUCCUUCCAUAAUGAAUGGUUUAGUUAAGGAUGUGAAUGAUCUCUGUAUUGUUCUCAGUGAGUAGAGACAAGGUGUCUUCAUGCAUGGGAUCAUUUUGUCACCAGAACAUUGGGGUCCAGUAUGGUGCUGCAGGACUCGGCCUGCUCUUUCUUCACCAGAUCUCUUUUCAUCCCUCUCUUUUUUCCCCAUCAAUGAAGAUGUCAAACUCGUGCUCUUCCUCUGACGGCCGGCUAUGACUGAACAAAUCAGAAACAGAAAGAGAAAGCGAGCGAGGAGGAGGAGGAAUCUGACCUCCUCAACUCUGAAGAAAAGACUUCAUCACUUCCUGUCAAAUCAGCAGCUGCUGCAGACUGAGAAUUUCAGAAGCAGGACCUGAGAGGGAUUGUUUGCAAAUGUGUGUGUGUUGGAAGCUCAAAGAGGUUUCAUAAUAGGCAGUGCACUCCCUAAACACACAGCGCUGAAUCUGAGAUCUCCCCAGCAAAUUUAGAAUCAUUUAGGUAACCCUUCCUUGUUCCUACAGGAAGUUAAGGAGUUUGUGUGCCUGUGUAUGAAUGUGCCAUGCGCAAUUUGUGUUGUUUGUGUCAGAUAGCCAAUCAAACAGGGUUUUGUGUUUCUUUUAUUAACGCUUGUUUACUUUGAG